rnacentral:rRNA from 1 species
CAGUCGCCGCGGUAAUACGAAGGGGGCUAGCGUUGUUCGGAUUUACUGGGCGUAAAGCGCACGUAGGCGGACUUUUAAGUCAGGGGUGAAAUCCCGGGGCUCAACCCCGGAACUGCCUUUGAUACUGGGAGUCUUGAGUUCGAGAGAGGUGAGUGGAAUUGCGAGUGUAGAGGUGAAAUUCGUAGAUAUUCGCAGGAACACCAGUGGCGAAGGCAGCUCACUGGCUCGAUACUGACGCUGAGGUGCGAAAGCGUGGGGAGCAAACAGGAUUAGAUACCCGAGUAGUCCCUGUCUCUUAUAC